GAUCUCCUCAGAUGUUCCUCAGCGAAGGCUGGGGAUAGACGUCUAACAGGAGCUGGAGCGGUCAGCCUCUCCUCGACGGUACACGAGCUGGGAGUCCUCAUUCGCGGCCCUGGGGUCACCCUGAACCCCGCGCCUUGCGUCCUGAUCGCCGAGCUCAGCCUGCCAACCUCACACCUGCCCCACGUCGGACCGGUUGCUGACCAGCAUCCCAAAAGGAGUGAAAGAAAAAACACUGAGAAUUUUACGAUGGUCCUUGUUGCGACAUUUCGACUUUACAAUGGCAGAAGACCAGACGACUUCAUGGAGUAAGUCUGCCAGACAGUCCUGCCUCAGGCUCCAGGCUUCCAGAUGGUAACAUUAACCAGGAACUGACCAGGUGGUUGGAAGAUGCUUGGAAAGACGGAUAACCGGUAUCAAUGUUGGUUUCCAAGGCUACUUCAAACAAUCUGGAAAACCUCCAUCAUCUACUUUGCACUGAAAUAGACAUACUCCCAGGUAAUGCUUGUUUAGGGAAUUCACACAAGAAGGCAUUUUGUUCUACCAACCCAUGCAGAAAAAAUAUUUAUCUCAAUCAUUAAUCAAGAGAGGACCCCUUACUGUACUCCGGAAAGUCCAUAAAAGCUGACAUGUAACUUAGAAAAGUCAGUACCUUCGCUCUCUCCAGCGACAAAGUAAAUGCGUCUCAACUCUUGUAGUGCGACAAGCAGAGCAUUGUGCUAACACCACAGGUUCUGUGUUCGAAUCCCAGGGAGCGUACAUAAAUUAUGACCCUUCCCUCUACUGUAAGCUGCUUUAGAUCAAAGCAUAAACUAAAUACAUCAGAGAAUAAUCAGUAUAGCGAAGUGAUUUUAGAAUGAGGAACUCAGAGAUACACAAACGUCUUGAUAAAGAGAUGAAACACACAGUCCUCCUAAUUCUUACAAUGAAAUGAAUCUGCUCUUCAUCAUAAAUAUAUUUACUUCACAACCUCCAAAGCCACAUUCUGACACAUGUCCUGUUGUCCUUUUUCAAGGCUGGGAACAAAUUUAUCCAGACUGAUGUAUAUUCAAAACUAAUCAUUGCUGUGUAAAAUGUUACAAAUGUCAAAAUUCCCACUCGGUCAAUAUGAUGAUUUACUGCAUUGUAGCAGCUAAGAUCCAGAAUCCAUCUGUCCCUGAUUAAUGAGCUGAAUAAAUAAAGGAUUUGCUCUCGCUCUCCUAAAA